rnacentral:rRNA from 1 species
UACGAAGGGUGCAAGCGUUAAUCGGAAUUACUGGGCGUAAAGGGUGCGUAGGCGGUUGUUUAAGUCUGUCGUGAAAUCCCCGGGCUCAACCUGGGAAUGGCGAUGGAAACUGGGCAGCUAGAGUGUGUCAGAGGAUGGUGGAAUUCCCGGUGUAGCGGUGAAAUGCAUUGAGAUCGGAAAGAACACCAACGGCGAAAGCACUCUGCUGGGCCGACACUGGCACUGAGAGACGAAAGCUAGGGGAGCAAAUGGG